rnacentral:misc_RNA from 1 species
UCCUGGUUAACCCAGGCAGUCUCAUUAGAGUUCCCGCCAUUACGCGUUGGCAACUAAUGAUAAGGGUUGCGCUCGUUGCGGGACUUAACCCAACACCUCACGGCACGAGCUGACGACAGCCAUGCAGCACCUGUGCAAACGCCCCGAAGGGAAAUGCUAUCUCUAACAUCGUCGUUUGCAUGUCAAGCCUGGGUAAGGUUCUUCGCGUUGCAUCGAAUUAAACCACAUGCUCCACUGCUUGUGCGGGUCCCCGUCAAUUCUUUUGAGUUUCACCCUUGCGAGCGUACUCCCCAGGCGGUAUACUUAUCGCGUUAGCUUCGGCACAACCGGGGUUGAGUCCAGUUACACCAAGUAUACAUCGUUUACAGUUAGGACUAC